rnacentral:rRNA from 1 species
UACGAAGGGGGCUAGCGUUGUUCGGAAUCACUGGGCGUAAAGCGCACGUAGGCGGAUCUUUAAGUCAGGGGUGAAAUCCCGAGGCUCAACCUCGGAACUGCCUUCGAUACUGGCGAUCUCGAGUUCGGGAGAGGUGAGUGGAACUGCGAGUGUAGAGGUGAAAUUCGUAGAUAUUCGCAAGAACACCAGUGGCGAAGGCGGCCUUCUGGCUCGUAACUGACGCUGUAGCGCGAAAGCGUGGGGAGCGAACGGG